rnacentral:rRNA from 1 species
UACGUAGGGUGCAAGCGUUGUCCGGAAUUAUUGGGCGUAAAGAGCUCGUAGGCGGCUUGUCGCGUCGGCUGUGAAAACCCGGGGCUUAACCCCUGGCUUGCAGUGGAUACGGACAGACUAGAGGUAGGUAGGGGAGAAUGGAAUUCCCGGUGUAGCGGUGAAAUGCGCAGAUAUCGGGAGGAACACCGGUGGCGAAGGCGGUUCUCUGGGCCUUACCUGACGCUGAGGAGCGAAAGCGUGGGGAGCGAACAGG